ACGCUCGACACCUACGGGAGGCAGCAGUUGGGAAUAUUGGACAAUGGAGGAAACUCUGAUCCAGUGACGCCGCGUGAAGGAAGAAGGUCUUCGGAUUGUAAACUUAUUUUGUCAGGGAAGAAAAAUGACUGUACCUGAAGAAAAAGCACCGGCUAACUACGUGCCAGGAGCCGCGGUAAUCUGAGCGGGCUGGCAAGGC
rnacentral:rRNA from 1 species